rnacentral:rRNA from 1 species
UAUGUGAUCGUCUCUCCCAUAUCAAUAAGCGGAGGAAAAGAAACUAACAAGGAUUCCCCUAGUAACGGCGAGUGAGGCGGGAAGAGCUCAAAUUUGAAAUCUUAAAGGGUUUCCCUUUACGAAUUGUAGUUUAAAGAAGUGUUUUCUGUUGAGGUUUUGGUAAAAGUUCUUUGGAAUAGGACAUCAUAGAGGGUGAGAAUCCCGUAUUUGACCUUUACUUUCAACUUUGUGAUACACUUUCAAAGAGUCGGAUUGGUUGGGAAUGCAGUCCAAAAUGGGUGGUAAAUUUCAUCUAAAGCUAAAUAUUGGCGAGAGACCGAUAGCGAACAAGUACCGUGAGGGAAAGGAUGAAAAGGAACUUUGAAAAGAGAGUUAAACAGUACGUGAAAUUGUCAAAAGGGAAAGCGUUUGACACCAGUGUUGUUUUUCUGAAAAUCAAUUAAAGAACUGUUUAUGCUAAGUUGUUUAGACUUUAUCAGCUAACUGUUUAGUUUUGAGCUUUUCUUUAAUGCACUUUUCAGUUAACAAGUCAACAUCAAUUUCUUUUGCUGUAAAAAAGCUUGAGGAAGGUGGCUUGAGAUUCGUCUUAAGUGUUUAUAGCCUCUUGCCUAUGCAGUCGGAGAGAUUGAGGUCUGCAGCGUAGAUCCUUCGGGGCUAAAUGCAUUUGUGCUAAGUUAUAGCAUUUUAUAGACAACUCGUUGACUAUGAUUUGUCUUGUAGCUUACUCGCUUAUGUUAUUUUACCUACGCUUAGGAUGUUGACACACGCGCGUGCUCG